UCCGUAGGCGGUGCGGCAAGUCGGAAGUGAAAUCUCUGGGCUUAACUCAGAGGCUGCUUCCGAAACUGCCGUGCUCGAGUGUGAGAGAGGCGAGUGGAAUUACGGGUGUAGCGGUGAAAUGCGUAGAUAUCCGUAGGAACAUCCGAGGCGAAAGCGGCUCGCUGGAUCACAACUGACGCUGAGGGACGAAAGCUAGGGGGAGCAAACAGGAUUAGAUACCCUGGUAGUCCUAGCCCUAAACCAUCAGGACUUGGGGUUUGCCCUGUACGGGGCAAGUCCCGGAGCUAACGCGUUAAGUCCUGCGCCUGGGGAGUACGGUCGCAAGGCUGAA
rnacentral:rRNA from 1 species